AUGGCCUCGAAUCAAGAUUGGCAGUUUUCAGAAGUUGUUGGUUUCAAAUUGGAGCCUAUAAUGUUAUCAUUUAUGGUCUGUUGGUCAUUUCAGAACUUUAGAAAUACAAUGGUCAGUUCAUUAGAAAGAAACAACU
ensembl:snoRNA small nucleolar RNA SNORA2/SNORA34 family